GACGAACGCUGGCGGCGUGCUUAACACAUGCAAGUCGAACGGAAAGGCCCUGCUUUUGUGGGGUGCUCGAGUGGCGAACGGGUGAGUAACACGUGAGUAACCUGCCCUUGACUUUGGGAUAACUUCAGGAAACUGGGGCUAAUACCGGAUAGGAGCUCCUGCUGCAUGGUGGGGGUUGGAAAGUUUCGGCGGUUGGGGAUGGACUCGCGGCUUAUCAGCUUGUUGGUGGGGUAGUGGCUUACCAAGGCUUUGACGGGUAGCCGGGCUGAGAGGGUGACCGGCCACAUUGGGACUGAGAUACGGCCCAGACUCCUACGGGAGGCAGCAGUGGGGUAUAUUGCACAAUGGGCGGAAGCCUGAUGCAGCAACGCCGCGUGCGGGAUGACGGCCUUCGGGUUGUAAACCGCUUUCGCCUGUGACGAAGCGUGAGUGACGGUAAUGGGUAAAGAAGCACCGGCUAACUACGUG
rnacentral:rRNA from 1 species